GCCCACCCCCACCCCGCACAUGGCGCACCUGCCUAAGGUUGUCCAGGUGAAGGGAAAUUUGCUGACAUGAAGUGAAACAGCAGAGCUUGUGUUCCUCCACCCCCACUCGGUGCCCAUUAGUAUAAACCAUGAGCUACCAUGGUUAUAGUCGUUUUCUGGGCAGAGGGGGUGAGGGGGGGUAGAGGUGUCCACCUGUGUCCAGCUGAAAGGCUUCCCAGUUCUGGAGAACAAGGGGGACCGCCUGAACCUGGAGGAGAAGGAAGCCCCUAUUUUGGCAAUGGGCCCCCCCAGUCCCGGCCGCUUCCUGCCCACCCUACACCCCCACUCCAGGGGCUUGCAAAAGAGCAUGUGGCAGAUGUAUCUACAUUACAGCCUGUCCUGUGGGUAGGGGUUAUGUAGUGGCACUAAAGAUAGAACAAAACCCCAAAUACCGUCUGGAGAAAAAAUAUUUCAUGGCAUCAUAUUUUUUCGCUCAGAUAGAUGGUGACAAAAUUGAGUUAAAUAGCGAGACACUGUUUAUCACAGAGAAGGGCUGCUGGAGAGAAGCCCUUCACAUACCUGCUGUCAGAAGUGUCAUGUGGAUGGGAGUCCUGUGAGAGUGAAGAGGAGCAGGGUAGAGAGGCUCCUUGUUCCCAACUCGAUUCUAUCAAAUGAACUUUAUAACCUUUUAUUGAAAUUCAUUUCAAUGAACUUGGGAUGGGACCUGGAAUAGAUUGGAUUCGGAGAGGAUUUUUAAACAUUCCCAUGUGACUGUAACAAGCAGCCUAGAUUGGGUCAGGGAGCCAUAAAUCCACCCUGGGCCCCAGGCUGUGACCUGUCUGGUGCUGCCUGGAGCAGUGUGGGCUCCACAGGCUUAAGGGGAAGGGGAGGAAGGAGGAAGGGGCAGGACAGCAUGAGGAGGAGGAGGAGAGACCAACCAUGUCCACUAACAUCAGCUGUUUACUUCAGAAAGAAAUUGCUGCCUCCAACCUAGUAUGCUGUUUUGCGGAUCUUUGUUGCUGAGAUGCCGAAUCCAGCAGGAGAAAAGACAACCAGAAGGUUGAGAAUGUUCCACUGGCACCUCAAGAAGAUAGCUCCAAGUGUUUUACUUCAGGAAGGUGAACCAUUGUGCAAUGUUGUGGGCCUACUGCACUAAAGGGAGCUGGAGUUUUUGGAGAAUACCUGUUUGCUCUACACAUGGAGAUCCAGAAUGUUACAAAUUCUGCAAACAGAACUUCUUCCCAGAAUUGACUCCUUUUUUCUGAGGACCGUUGGCUUGUGCGCAUGAUCCCUACUAACCAGGAAACUUGUUCCAGCGGUGAAGGCCACCUGACAACAACAUCUUUCUGAACAACUGUAUCAUCCUCUUCAGCCAAGAGAUCUUAGCUAUUGGAAAAGACAGAAGAGACAAACUGUUCGUGAGCCUGGUUGGAAGCACCUUAUCAGCUCGUGGCUCGCAGCCAGCUCUCAGAGUGCCAUUUGGGAUUCCAGCUCAGCGGAUCGGAAACAAAAUUGGGACCAAACAAAGACAAGAGGAGGCAUCUUCUCACUGUGUCCCCUUCCCAACGCUUGACGCCCACCUGGACCAUCCGUGCGCACCAUCCAGUGGAAACGCCCGGGCCACUUCACACCGCCCUGCUCAGCGCCCAGGUGGGGUCUCCAGCAGAGAAAGUCACCCUGAAGAGCUGAUGCAAUGACACCUGAAACCCCCAAAAGGAGCAGCCAGAUUUGGCCUCAAGGAGAGACUUUGUUCUUGGCACAAUAAGGGGGUUAGCUCUGGGGCGCUGCUCACUCCCCCGGGUCCUUCUCCACUUCCACUCUACUGUGGGCAGCUCCUCAGUGUGCCCAUUGCUGUCUGCCAAGAAGGGUGUUUGUUAUUAUCCCGCGGCAAUAAGUUAAUGAGACAAAGCUUGGGAUCCGAGUCGCAGCAGAAGGGUAAGAAUUUUGCACUUUUGCA